rnacentral:lncRNA from 1 species
GAAUAUGAGUGCCUGGUCCUCAUGAUUUCAGUGCAGCCAAAUCAUGGGACAAAUCUAACAGUUUCAGGUAAAGCAACACUGUAUUUUUUCCGGGUCUAACAGCUUUGCUGAUUUCAGCUGCAGGAGAGAUGUUGGUUUCAGAGUAAAAAGAAGGCAGAAAUAAUUGUUUUAGGAUAUCAAUGUAGAUGUCUAUUUCCUUGUUUUGCUCAUUUGUCUUCACAGUCAUUAUUACCUAUAGUCAAAUUAAAUGGUAAUUUAUUUUCUUUUCACCUUUGUCACCCAGUAGAAGGUUAGUUCUAUGUGCACAAGGACUUUAUCUUCCUUGCUCCCUGCUGCGUUCCAUGGCCUGCAACAGUGUUCCACGCAUGGCUGGAAUGAAGGAAUGCAUGUAUUAGACUUGUACAAAUGUGUGCCACACAAGUGGUUAUUCAACACUCAGGCUUAGAGAUAGUGAGCUGCAAAAGCAAAGCACAGAUGGUGAAAGAAGUGGAGUCUAUAAAUCUACCAGGACUUUGAAGGUUACUGUCAUCAGCAGUGGUGUGAAGGGAGAUAACUUGGCUGUCUAGCAGCACAUUCCCCUCUAGACAUCCAGGAACCAGGGGAGAACAUCAGCUCCCUUGGCCUUGGGCACUGGCAGCUGGAGUUCCGGAGCACCUCAGUCAGGACAACGUACACCUGCCACUGUGGCACCAAAGAUUACAGAAAAUUAUUGAAAGAAAUGGAAAUGGAUGGAGAGGAGUUAAGAAGAAAAGAAAGAAACUGCUCAUCAGUGGCAGCUCUGCCAGACGUCAGAAGCCCAAGGCAGACACAGCGCCAAGUUCUGCUAUCAAGAUCUUCUUAGCUCCUGACGAUCUGGAGAGACUUGCUUAUGGAUAUGUGUCCACAGAUGAAGAGCUGCCCCUGGCUGAGGCUUCUGCUAUCCCCUACUCCCCGCCAAGCCCCCACUUCCCGACCAGAUGGAUGACUGACCUGGGGAAUGAACCUCAGACCCCCCAAACAUGUUCCUCAGCCCCUCAACCCGGGGCCUGCUUCCAGCUUUUCUCCCUCAAUAACUCUAAGUGACGCACUUCUAGCUUUCUGCAGAAACACAAAAACAAAAACUUGCUGUUUUAUUUGAUCCACCCCUUUUCUUACAACUCUCCCAAAGGAUAACCUUAAAGUGUAAAUCAGACCAUUCUCUUGCUGAAAACUAAUCACUUCCAAGUGUACCUAGAAUAAAAUCCAGAUUCCUUCCCAUGGACUGCAACACAAGGUUAUGUUUCCUCCUCACACUCCAUCCACUGGCUCCCCAUUGUGGACAAGCAUAUACAUGACCACAAACACUCAUUCAUACCCAAACAAACACACACAUAUUUUAGAUGACUGGGUUCUUCCAUUUU